rnacentral:rRNA from 1 species
GGUGGUGCAUGGUUGUCGUCAGCUCGUGUCGUGAGAUGUUGGGUUAAGUCCCGCAACGAGCGCAACCCUUGUCUUUAGUUACCAUCAUUCAGUUGGGGACUCUAGAGAGACUGCCGGUGAUAAACCGGAGGAAGGUGGGGAUGACGUCAAAUCAUCAUGCCCCUUAUGGCCUGGGCUACAAACGUAAUACAAUGGCGUAUACAAAGGGAUGCGAAAGGGCGACCUGGAGCAAAACUCACAAAGUACGUCUCAGUUCAGAUUGGAGUCUGCAACUCGACUCCAUGAAGGCGGAAUCGCUAGUAAUCGCGGAUCAGCAUGCCGCGGUGAAUACGUUCUCGGGUUU